CAAAACCUUAACCUAUAGGGGAGGGUCUGGGUGGUGUUCUUGGGGGCAUAGGCAGCAUUCCUCCUCCAAACACGGAGAGUUGAGUUGGUGCCAAAUAGCUCCAUUUUGGUCUCAUCUGACCACAACACUUUCACCCAGUUGUCCUCUGAAUCAUUCAGAUGUUCAUUGGCAAACUUCAGACGGGCAUGUAUAUGUGCUUUCUUGACCUUGCGGGCUUUGCAGGAUUUCAGUCCUUCACGGCGUAGUGUGUUACCAAUUGUUUUCUUGGUGACUAUGGUCCAAGCUGUCUUGAGAUCAUUGACAAGAUCAUCCCGUGUAGUUCUGGGCUGAUUCCUCACUGUUCUCAUGAUCAUUGCAACUCCACGAGGUGAGAUCUUACAUGGAGCCCCAGGCUGUGGGAGAUUGACAGUUCUUUUGUGUUUCUUCCAUUUGCGAAUAAUCGCACCAACUGUUGUCACCUUCUCACCAAGCUACUUGCCGAUGGUCUUGUAGCCCAUUCCAUUCUUGUGUAGGUCUACAAUCUUGUUCCGGACAUCCUUGGAGAGCUCUUUGGUCUUGGCCAUGGUGGCGAGUUUGGAAUCUGAUUGAUUGGUUGCUUCUGUGGACAGGUGUCUUUUAUACAGGUAACAAGCUGAGAUUAGGAACACUCCCUUUAAGAGUGUGCUCCUAAUCUCAGCUAGUUACCUGUAUAAAAGACACCUGGGAGCCAGAAAUCUUUCUGAUUGAGAGGGGGUCAAAUACUUAUUUCCCUCAUUAAAAUGCAAAUCAAUUUAUAACAUUUUUGACAAUUUUCUGGGUUCCCCUAGGGGAUUGCCUUGCCAUAACAGGUUUUAAGGGGAAGGGAUCUAAGGGAGAAGGGAAAAAUGGACAGGAUCAGACAAUAGAAAGUGUUUCAAUUGCGAUAAGACAGGACAUUUCACCAGGGAGUGUAAGGCUCCCUGUAAACAUUGUGACCGAGUAGGGCACAGCCACCGAAACUGCAAACAUAAGGGGAAGAACAGGCGCAACAACCGGGAGAGAAAGAGAGAGACAGAGACAACGAGAGCGAGAGUAAUGAGAGUCGUCGCCUGAGUAACGCUUGGAUCUUUAAAAAGAAAACCCUUACAGAAUCACCCACCAACCAAGGACCAAGCGGCGUGGUAAACAGAGGCAGCAGCAACAGCAGCAGCAGGAGAAGCGACAGGUGCAGCAGGAGCAACAGCAGCAGCAGCAAAGGCAGCAGCAGCAGUGGGAGAGGCUGCACUAUUUGGAUAAAUGGACUUGGGAGGAGAUCCUUGACGGAAAAGGACCCUGGGCAGAGCCAGGGGAAUAUUGCCGCCCCAAAGCCGAGCUGGAGGCAGCGAAAGCAGAGGCGGCGUUAUGAGGAGCUAGCACGGCAGAGCGGCUGGAAGCCCGAGAGGCACCCCCAAAAAUGUAUUGGGGGGGGCACAGGGAGAGUGUGGCAGAGUCAGGAGUCGGACCUGAGCCAACUCCCCCUGUUUACCGUAAGGAGCCAUGGAUGGAAUUGGAGCUGUCGGUGAAGCUGAGUCUGAGAGUGUGGAGGAUGUAUUGGACAGAGUAGAAAGAAAACUGUUGGUUUGGCAUAGUAUGCACGGCAUACAAGUGCCAGCACCACGCAUCAGGCCUACAGUGCGUCCCGCCUGUCCAGCGCUGCCGGAGCCUUCCUCCUCUCCAGCGCAGCCAGAGUCUCCCGCCUGUCCGGCGCUGUCAGAGCUACCGCCCCUCAUGCCAGAGGCGCCAGAGCCCCUCAUUCCAGAGGCACCAGUGCUCCUCAGUCCAGCGCUGCCAGAGCCUUUUUCUCCAGUCUGCCCAGCGCCGGUGUUAGUCAUGGUCUCUGAUUGGGAACCAUAUUUAGGUAGCCUGUUUUGUGUUGGGUUUUGUGGGUGAUUGUUCCUGUCUCUGUGUUUGCACCAGAUAGGACUGUUUAGGUUUUCACUUUUCUUGUUUUGUAUAGUCGGUUCAUGUAUAGUCGUCUUUAUUAAAAACAUGAAUAACCACCACCCUGCAUUUUGGUCCGCCUCUCUUUCACCAGAAGAAAACCCUUACAGUUAUUUUAUCACUGAAUAAUAAAAUAUGUUAAUAACUCUAUUACUAAUGAACUUGUUAAAUUAUUGGCUUUUUAAUUGUCUGCCCAAUGCAAUCGCAAAGUAGUCAAGACUGUCUAAACGUUUUGACACCUGAGACUGCAUGAAAAUAAAUCUUAAUCACCAAAGCUUGUCAUGCCUGCUCCCGCUCGAGCACCAGGCUGCCCAGCAUUAUGCACUCCUGCCACCAUCAUUUACGCACUCCUGCCUCCCUCGUCACGCGCUUCAGCGAUAUUGGACUCACCUGGACUCACUUAACCUCUAGUGACUCCCAAACCUGCAUGUCCGGCGUCGGUCUUUACAAAGCUUUAUUCACAUAUCAAGUCUGAGAGGAGUAAAACAGUGAGCUGACAUUCCCUCUUUAUCUAUGCAUUGUCGAUCCUCUGGGUUGGGUUGGCACCCCCCUUGGGUUGUGCCGUGGCGGAGAUCUUUGGGCUAUACUUGGCCUUGUCUCAGGAUGGUAAGUUGGUGGUUGAAGAUAUGCAUCUAGUGGUGUGGGGGCUGUGCUUUGGCAAAGUGGGUGGGGUUAAAACCUGCCUGUUUGGGGGUAUCAUCAGAUGGGGCCACAGUGUCUCCUGACACCUGUCUCAGCCUCCAAUAUUUAUGCUGCAGUGGUUUGUGUCGGAGGGCUAGGGUCAGUUUGUUGUAUCUGGAGUAUUUCUCCUGUCUAAUUUAUUUUAUUUAACUAGGCAAGUCAGUUAAGAACAAAUUCUUAGUUUCAAUGACAGCCUAGGAACAGUGGGUUAACUGCCUUGUUCAGAGGCAGAAUUACAGAUUUGUACUUUGUCCACUCAGGGAUUUGAACUUGCAGCUUUUCAGUUACUAGUCCAAUGCUCUAACCACUAGGCUACGCUUCCGCCCCAGCGUAGCCUAGUGGUGUAC